ensembl:lincRNA
AGACAAUGCUGCCUAGAGAUAUGAGGGAAGCACUGAGAAGAAUGAAUAUGGCCGGGAUCUUGAAGAAUGGCUCAUAAUUGACUCAGUAGAGGAGAAGUAAAACCAGCAUGUGUAAGGUUGGGGGAUGAAGAAAAGCCUGAGAGGAAAGUGGAAGCAUUGCCCAGCUGACCAGGCAUACUACCCAGGAUCCGGUUACCACUACAAUAGCAUGAAGGGAAAUUGAUGGACCAAUCAAGAGGGUUGAAGUUUGUCUAAGGACGUCAUACACAAGGUCACAAGGACAUUUCCCUAGGGGAAAAGGCUACAAGUAAAUUAGGAUCACACGUGGAGGAAAGGAGCCGAGGAAAACUAUCAUGGGAUGCAAGACACAAAAAGGCAAAUAACAGAGAAGAGGUUGGAGGACUGUGUGAUAAACUAUUCCCUUCACCCCCACACUCCAGCUAAUCUGAUUUUAUGUUAUGGGAGCAUUCUGCAAGAUCAUUGCAGCAGAGCUGUGGCAGAGUAUACAUCCCUAGGGAGCCACCUACCCAAAGCAACUGCAUUGGAGCUUGUCUGGACAUGUCCCCAAGAUGGGUCUUCUCUGAAAAAAACCUUCCUUCAUGUGAUAAAUAGAAAAGGGUGACAAGCUGACAUGUACAGGGAAGUUGUGUAAUGCUGACCUACACUCAUGUCACUACCAUCAGUAAGACCAGCCAAAUCAUGAGAGUCUUCAUGAAACUUGCACUCAAAUCAACUGCAGGGAGCAUUCACCCUCGCACAUCUUCCAGGGUGAGUAAAUUGUUGCAGAAGUGGUUCCCAAUUUUGUAAUGUCUCCUGCAUCCUCACCCUCACUGACUCUGACCUUUGACAUGGGACUUGUUUUGGCCAAUAGGACAUUAGCACUGGAAAUCAAGUAAGCUUUGAAGAAAAUGCUUGCACAUUAGAUUUGCCACCCCUGGCCACUGUGUGAACAGCCAUUCCUGGGCCUCUAGUGGAUGAAAGGCCAUGUGGAGAAAGACUCCAGUGGUCCCAGCGGUUGUUCCGGUGAGGUCCCCUGGAGCAACCAGCCUGCCAGCCAUCAGCGUAUGAGAUCAUCCUUGAUCAUCCAGUCCUCACUGAGCCACUGGCUGACUGUAAAAAUGAGCCAAGCUAGCCCAAGCCAGUUGAACCAUUCAAAGGACUAACUCAAUCAUGACAAUAAUCAAUGUUGUGUAAAAACCACUAAGUUUUAGGAAGCUUGUUAUACAGUAAAGGCCUACUGAUAGACAAGAAGGUAAAUUUUACAACGAUGCUGCUGGUAACCAGAAAUACGUAGCAAAGCAAGGAGGAAAUGAGGACAUUAAGAAACAUUCAUAUUUCACUGCUAGAGGUAGAAAUUUCCACUUUUUGAACCUUCACACUGACUACAUAGUACUGCUAAGCAGUAUAGAUGUUACCCAUAAACUCUAUAAACUGUACAUCGUUUCAGCUUCCCGGUUUGCUGAGAGACCCUGGUGGUGCUUGCUGUACGUUGGGGUCUUGCUGGAGUUCUGUUCCCAGCCAAUGCUGUGUACCUGGUGGACUGGGGAGGUAGGAAAGUGUUUAGCGUGUCUCAGGGAAGGCAAGAAUGUAACAGGAAAAUCCAUUCCAAAGGCAGUUGCUAACAUAACUCAUGCUGGGUUCUGUCAUCCAUGGAUAAUGGCACCAUUGGUGGGGAUUAUUAUAAAAAUUCUCCUGACUUUAAAGAUUAUGGUAUUGACUUAGGGCCUCUGGAUGUGGGUGGGGAACCCAGGAACUUAAUCAGGAGGUGACUCCCUUGUAGGCUAGGGAAUAACACAGAAAGGAACAAGUGCUGUCUGAGAAGCACGAAGAGUAAAGCCAAGAUCACACAUUUUGCCAUUAGAACAGCUGCUGAGUAGUCCAGUCUCCUCUUCCCAGAACAGUGCUCUCUGUCUAGUAUGAGGAACUGAGGGCAGAUACUGGUUUGCCAGAGCUUUGCCGACAGUGUUAACAUGGUCACCUAUAGUGUUUUGGAUGCUGUCAUAGAUGUCACUCAGAGAUGGAAUACAUUAUUUCACUAUAUAUAAACAUGGAGAGUUACAUUUUACUGCCACAUAACUGAAACAUCCAGAUAUGGGGCAACAUUUUAAAUGUUGUCUCCAUUCACUGCUUACCAACAGAUGGACCGUGAAGUGUUUGGCCAUCUGUGAAUAUGCACAUUAAAAAUUGCUGUAA